GUGAGAGAGGGGGUGACUAGUGACAGAGUGAGGAAGGGGGUGACUAGUGAUAGAGUGAGAGGGAGAGAGGGGGUGACUAGUGACAGAGUGAGGGAGGGGGUGACUGUCACUAGUCACCCCAUCCCUCUCUCUGUCACUAGUUACUCCAUCCCUAACUCUAUCACUGUGUCACCCCCUCCCUCACUCUGUCACUAAUCACCCCCCUGUCCCUAGUCACCCCCUUCCUCACUCUGUCACUAGUCACCCCAUCCCUCUCUCUGUCAC